rnacentral:rRNA from 1 species
GACGAACGCUGGCGGCGUGCUUAACACAUGCAAGUCGAACGAUGAAGCCUUUCGGGGUGGAUUAGUGGCGAACGGGUGAGUAACACGUGGGCAAUCUGCCCUGUACUUUGGGAUAAGCCUUGGAAACGAGGUCUAAUACCGGAUAUGACUGGCCCUUCGUCAUGGGGGUUGGGUUGGUAAAGUUACUGGCGGUACAGGAUGAGCCCGCCGGCCUAUCAGCUUGUUGGUUGGGGUAAGUGGCCUACCAAGGCGACGACGGGUAGGCUGGUCUGAGAGGAUGGCCAGCCACAUUGGGACUGAGACACGG